CCUACGGGAGGCAGCAGUGGGGAAUCUUAGACAAUGGGCGCAAGCCUGACCUAGCCAUGCCGCGUGAGCGAUGAAGGCCUUAGGGUUGUAAAGCUCUUUCAGUGGGGAAGAUAAUGACUGUACCCACAGAAGAAGCCCCGGCUAACUCCGUGCCAGCAGCCGCGGUAAU
rnacentral:rRNA from 1 species